UGGGGAAUAUUGCACAAUGGGCGCAAGCCUGAUGCAGCCAUGCCGCGUGUAUGAAGAAGGCCUUCGGGUUGUAAAGUACUUUCAGCGGGGAGGAAGGUGUUGUGGUUAAUAACCACAGCAAUUGACGUUACCCGCAGAAGAAGCACCGGCUAACUCCGUGCCAGCAGCCGCGGUAAUACGGAGGGUGCAAGCGUUAAUCGGAAUUACUGGGCGUAAAGCGCACGCAGGCGGUCUGUCAAGUCGGAUGUGAAAUCCCCGGUCUCAACCUGGGAACUGCAUCCGAAACUGGCAGGCUUGAGUCUUGUAGAGGGGGGUAGAAUUCCAGGUGUAGCGGUGAAAUGCGUAGAGAUCUGGAGGAAUACCGGUGGCGAAGGCGGCCCCCUGGACAAAGACUGACGCUCAGGUGCGAAAGCGUGGGGAGCAAACA
rnacentral:rRNA from 1 species